CCUACGGUCGGCAGCAGUGAGGAAUAUUGGUCAAUGGCCGGAAGGCUGAACCAGCCAAGCCGCGUGAGGGAGGAAGGCGCAGAGCGUCGCAGACCUCUUUUGCCGGGGGACAAAAGGCCGGACUCGUCCGGUCCUGAGGGUCCCCGGAGCAAAAGCAUCGGCUAACUCCGUGCCAGCAGCCGCGGUCAUACGGAGGAUCCGCGCGUUAUCCGGAUUUAUUGGGUGUACAGGGAGCGUAGAUGGGUUGUUAAGUCAGUUGUGAAAGUUUGCGGCUCAACCGUAAAAUUGCAAUUGAUAAUGGCAGUCUUGAGUACAGUUGAGGUAGGCGGAAUGCGUGGGGUAGCGGUGAAAUGCUUAGAUAUCACGAAGAACCCCGAUUGCGAAGGCAGCUUACUAAACUGUGACUGACAUUGAUGCUCGAAAGUGUGGGUAUCAAACAGGAUUAGAUACCCUAGUAGUC
rnacentral:rRNA from 1 species